rnacentral:lncRNA from 1 species
GACGGUAAAAAUAGACAAAAUUGUGUAAAUAAAUAGUAGGAUAUUAUAUAACAACGCAAGAAAGGUGAUGGAAAGAAAAGUUGUUAUUUGGCAAAGAACAACAAAAGAAAUUCUUCAUUCAGUUAAAUUCAAAUUGUAAUUACUAAAAGCAUAUAGUUACUGAUAGAGAACCCAAAAUUAAGAAUUUGAUAAAUAUUAUUUAAUGGGGAUGGGAAAUGCUUUUUCCAUGACCACCACGGCAGCGGUGGAUUUUGGAGCAACCCCGAUGGUAAGGGUUAGCCGCAACAGGAGGAGCAUGAGGAUCUUGGUGGCAACCAGGAGGUUUUGGUCCUGGUCUCAAACAUGGAUCCAUAACCCCCGGAUCGAUCCAUUUGGCUGACGCCGCCACCAGCAACGUGCUCAUCGUCAAAACAAACAACAUAAUCAAUGUUCGGUUUUUAUCGGACACCACCGCCAUCUGCCCACAAUUAUUAGGCUCUCUCUCUCUCUCUGUAUAUCUCUAAUUGUUGUUGUUUGAUUUUCUUACAAACGAUUUCGGUUCAUUUUAUAUCUAAUAUAAGUAAUUCUGUUUUGUCUGAAUUCACGGAAACAAUUUAGAUUUAGUAAAUAAAUUUUCUUAAUCUUUAAAAUUAAUGGUUGUCAUAAUUUAUAAACUCAUCCAAUCGUUUGUAUUUAAGAAAAUGAUUUUUAAAGAUAAACGGAAAUUUUGGAGAGACAGCCACCCACUGCAAGUUAAUAUUCACCUUAAAUAAUAUAUAAUUCUUCAAUUUCAUAAUUCGAAUUUUAGUGACUUAGAAAAUUAAGAAUUACUGAAAUGGAAGCUUCCUUUGUAUUACAUACAUGUUCGUGUAUAAAUAAUUUGACAAUUAUAAUAGUUCUUGAUUAAACCAUUCCAUCAGUUAUGUACUAAAAUUAGGGACUUUUCCAAAAUUGGAUUAAUGCAUUCUAAAAAUGGAUAUCUAAAUGAAGAUUUUUCUUGCAAAAAUAAAAAAUAAAAAUAUAGCUUGUACUAAUUCAUUGAAAUAUACAAAUUAAUUAUUUUUGUGAAGUUAUUAGUUAAUUAGUUAAUCAAUUAAUUAAUUAGUUCUUUUCUAUUAAUGAGUUAAUUAGUUAUUAAUUAGUUGUUGAUUAAUUUACUCCAUGAUUAACUUUCACAAUAUAUCAAUAGAUACCCAUUAUUGAGUAAUUAAUGAAAAUUGUUUUUUUUAAUCAGUGUUAGAAUUAAUUUUUAUGUAUUUAUCUUUAGAUAUGAAAUUUAUAUUUACAAUUAGUUUUAAAGUAUUUAUAGAAAAUAAAAAAUAAAAUAUACGUUUUUCAGUAGUGAAAUAAUCUUUGAUACAUUUCGAAUCUACAUGUAUUCGUAUGUAAUAGAAUUUUUAAAUAAUUUAGAUGAAAAUAAUCGGAACAAAGAAAAAAUAUAACUUAUUAAAAAUCUCAGACCAGAAAGUAAAAUAAGAGGUAGAAAAGCAAAAGAUAAAAUUGAUGGAAGCACGUGACAUUUUCAUGCAUGAUAGCAUAGUUAGCAUGUAACAACCCGAACCUACAUGUAGAGUUCUUAAGUUUUGANNNNNNNNNNNNNNNNNNNNNNNNNNNNNNNNNNNNNNNNNNNNNNNNNNNNNNNNNNNNNNNNNNNNNNNNNNNNNNNNNNNNNNNNNNNNNNNNNNNNNNNNNNNNNNNNNNNNNNNNNNNNNNNNNNNNNNNNNNNNNNNNNNNNNNNNNNNNNNNNNNNNNNNNNNNNNNNNNNNNNNNNNNNNNNNNNNNNNNNNNNNNNNNNNNNNNNNNNNNNUUUAGAACGACAGAGUUUUUAGAAACAUAAGAAUGAGGUGGGAUGAAAUACAGUUUGAUUAAUGGUGUUGGAUCCUGUACAAAAAUAUAAUUAAUUGUAUAAAUUAAGAUAAUUUUAAAUUAAUUAACAGGAACUAAUAACAAUAAUUUUAAGUUAAAUUGAUGCAUAAUUAAAUAAAAAUAUUAAGUAUAUAAAUAAUUAAAAAUUAAAUAGAUAUAAAAUUUUAUGUAAAAUUUUUUUCAAAACUACGGAUGAAAUUCUGAAUUAAAUAUAUUAUUAAUAGAAAUAAUUACAAUAUAAUCUAUUAAAAAUUAAAUCUAAAAUAAUAAAAAAAAAAAAAAACAAUUUUCCUUGUACAAAAUUUGAAGGAAAAAAAAAAAUCAUUUUAUUAAAAAAGACAAAAUAGAUUACGUCAGCAUUGAUGUUACCAACGAGAGAGAAUGACAACCAUAUUUUUUCUUUUGUCUUGAUCGCCACUCAACUUGUGUGUAUAUAUAUAUAUAUAUAUAUAUAUAUGUAUACCCCUUCAUUUUUCUCUUCUGUCUUCUCUCUCUCUCUCUCUCUCUUUCUUUCUGAAUUUUUUCUUCUCCAUGCGCUUAAAUCUAUUUUUCCAGCUCUACGCCUCUCCUUUUAUAAGCAGGCAUAAUAGUGUAAACCAACUUUUCCACUCAGCAAAAAUUUUCGAAAAUCUGAAAUUUUAUCUCUUAUUUAUUUUCACGUAUUUUUCUUUUUUAUUUUAAUGGACUGGACUUAACAGAAGGAGCUGUUAAUUUUGACUAUAAAUGUGUUUGAUUUGAGUAAUUUAAAUGAUAUUGAACCUGUUGAUUUCAACAGGUUUAGUGAAUUAAAACCUAUUUGCUCGUUAAUCAGACAUAACAAGAAGUAUCUAUAGAUAAUUAAUCAAGAUUAAUGAUGAGGGUAAAUUAACUAAUAAAAACCCAGCAACUAAUUAAUUAACUUAUUGAAAAAAUAUUUCAUCAUAAAUCAUCAUUUAUAAAUAUAUUCAUGUCUCAGUACAUGAAACGAGACACGAUGAUCUAAUAAAUAAACACCAUGACAUUAUCUAAUAAUACAAGAAAGUUGAGGGAGAGAAAAAAUAUUAUUUGAGAAAUAAAAACCCUAGAUAUUCUUUUAUGUAAUUAUAUUAAAGAGGUUGCUUACACGUAACUCAAAAUUAAUUAAGAAUUUAAUAAAUAUUAUUUAAUGGGGAUGGGAACUGCCUUUUCCAUGAUCACCACGGCAGCGGUCGGUUUUAGAACAACCCCGAUGGUAACGGUUAGCCGCAACAAGAGGAGCAUGAGGAUCUUGGUGGCAACCGGGAGGUUUUGGUCCCGGUUUCAGACAUGGAUCCAUAACCCAUGGAUCAAUCCGCUGAGCCGCUGUCAUCGCCACCAACAUACUCAUCAUCAAAACAAAUAACACAAUAAAUAUCAUUUUUCUUUCAGACACCACCGCCAUCUUUCUACGAUUAUUAGAUUCUCUCUUUGUAUAUGUUUACUUGAUUUUCUUAUGAAUGAUUUAGCUUCAUUUUAUAAUAUUUUUGUUUGGUCUAAAUUGAAGUAAACAAAGUUAAAUUUGGCAUUUAAUCGUUUUCAUAAUCUUAAAAAUGAACGGUUGUAAUCCUCACUAAUACACGAAGAUCUUCUCCAUUUUUUAUGGAUAUCUUUUUUAAUUAAUUUGUGGUCACUUUUCUUUUUUCUUUUAAAGGUCACUAAAGAACUUUUGACUUAAAAUAAAAAUUAACAUGUUAAGAUGAUAAUUAAUAUAGUGUUAUACAAUUAAUCAUAAAUGUGUGAUAUUUUGCUCAUAAUUAUGAGCUUAAAAUACUAAUUAAAAACUAGUUAAAAUAUUUUUAAAGGAUUAUUUAUGUUUUUGCAAUAAUUUAGUGUUAAAUAAAAAAAUUAUGAACUCAGUUAGUUAUUUGAAUUAAUACAAACUCAGCCAGUUAUUUCUUUAAUUUCAUAAUUUAAAUUUAAACAACCUAUUAAAUUAAGAAUUAAUGAAAUGGAAAAUAUUUUUAUAUGUUAAUGUAUAAAUAAUUUGACAAUUAAAAUAGUUCUUAAUUAAUAAUUAUACUUUCGAAAAUCCAACCAUUCCUUUCUUUUUGUAUCAUUUAGAUAGUCUCGGUCUAGUGCUAGUGUCUCAACAACUCAACGGAAACAAGUACGUCUUUUAUAACAAACCGAUGGACAGGUAAAAAAUAAAUUUGUAUUUUAUUGAUGGAUCUAUUAUAAAACCUUAUGGUUUUAAUAAGAAUAUUUUUAAUUGAUGGAUUCGCAUCAACUAUAUAGUAAUUUCUUAGAUUUUAGACUCAAUAUUAAAAAAAAUUUCAACGAAUGUUAGUUGUUUUUGAGUAUGCAUUUGAAAUGUGGACAAAAUCUUAGUGUACACUUCUAACAAAAUAAUGGUAUGAGAAUUUUUGAACUUACCAAGGAUUUUUUCAAUCACAUUCGUAACCAGAACUAUAUCAAUAUAUGUUUUAUUAAAUUAAAAAAAAAUUUAGCAAGAAUUAAAUAAUUUUCAAUCUAUAUGUACUCAUGAAAAAAUGCAUGUAUAGAGAAAUUGACGAACAAAAUAACUAUUUUUAAAAGAAGUAUGUUUUAUAUUUUCUCAUAAAAUUAAGCGAUAGUAUCUCUCGUAUCAAAAGAUAAAUAUUGUUUAUUGAUCCCCUUCCUUCCAUUAAUAAAAUUUUCUUUUCAGUUUUUCAAGAGGGAUGAUAAUGAGUUAUUAAUCUUAGCCCUACUUUAAAGCUAACUGAGCCAUCUAGAAAGGUGACUUUUAUGAUUAAAGUUGAGAAUUUUAACGCCGGGUGAAAAUAAGAAUUCGAGAAGGGACAUGCCUUCUGGCCAUGGACAUAGAUAAAAAAAUCCUAUUACUAUUAACCAAAUUAUGGCACAAGUUACAAAUAAAUCAAAAAUUAGAGUUAAUAAUUUUGUUCAGUAUCUCAAUCCCUUUCAAAUUACAAAGGGUAACACUUUUGUCCAGUUUUAUUGUAAGGUAUCAAAAUCUCAUGAGAAACCUCUCAACUUCACAAAGUGCAUGUAUAUAUAUAUAUAUAUAUUACUUUUUUAAGUUGAUAAGUUAUUUUAACGACAAAUUGGAUAGUUGACUCAGAGCAUCAAAACAUAUUUGUUAUAUCUAUAUGUACAUAUUUCUCUAGUAUAUACACCCGUACAUAUAAACAUUCACAAAUCAAUAUGCACAUAUUUAUUUAUACAUAUGUAUCAUGAAAAAUCAUUCAAAAAUUUAUAUAUUAAAUAUUUGGUUCGAGCAAUUUAUACCAUAUUUAACCUGUUGAUUUCAACAGGUUUAGUGAAUUUCCCAUUUGAAAAGGUUGAAAGGAAAAAUUGGUAUUCUUAUUAAUUUGCUCAUUAAUUAGAAACAAAAGGUAUCAUAGUUAUAUAAUUAAAGUUAACAAUAACGCUAAAUUAAUUAAAAAAAUAAUAACUAAUUAAUUAGUUUACACAUCUAAUAUUAACUUAUUGAAAAUAUAUUCUGUAAUCAACCCUUAUUUGCAAAUAUAUUUUUGGUUCCUACAGUAUAUUGUAUUGUAAAAAAUAAUACUAUUAUUAGUUAAAAAAUACUUAAUCGUUGAAAUAAAUAUAAGAACAUUAUAUAAUAAUACAAGAAAGCUGAUGGAGACAAAAUUUGUCAUUGGCAACAAAAUUUAUUAUUGGCAAACAAAACUAGGUUUCAUUUACUUUAAAGUUUGUAGUUAAUAAUAAUAAGGUUAUUGAGAGUGAACCCAAAAUUAAAAAUUUAAUACAUAAUAUCUAAAGGGGACCAAGAACUAGUUUAUUAGAACCACGGCAGCGGUUGAUUUUGGAGCAACCCCGACGAUAAGGGUUUGCCGCAACCGGAGGAGCAUAAGGAUUUUGGUAGCAACCAGGAGGUUUUGGUCCUGGUCUCAAACAUGGAUCCAUAACCCCCGGAUCGAUCCAUUU